GAGUUUGAUCAUGGUUCAGGAUGAACGCUAGCGGCAGGCUUAACACAUGCAAGUCGAGGGGCAGCACGGGUAGCAAUACCUGGUGGCGACCGGCGGAAGGGUGCGUAACGCGUGAGCAACAUGCCCUAUACAGGGGAAUAAACCAGGGAAACUUGGUCUAAUGCCCCAUAGCAAUAAGAUAAGGCAUCUUAUUUUAUUUAAAGCUUCGGUGGUAUAGGAUUGGCUCGCGUGACAUUAGCUGGAUGGUGGGGUAACGGCCCACCAUGGCGAUGAUGUCUAGGGGUUCUGAGAGGAAGACCCCCCACACUGGGACUGAGACACGGCCCAGACUCCUACGGGAGGCAGCAGUGAGGAAUAUUGGACAAUGGAUGGAAAUCUGAUCCAGCCAUGCCGCGUGCAGGAAGACGGCCCUAUGGGUUGUAAACUGCUUUUCUACGGGAGCAAUAAGGUCUACGCGUAGACUGAUGAGAGUACCGUAGGAAUAAGCAUCGGCUAACUCCGUGCCAGCAGCCGCGGUAAUACGGAGGAUGCGAGCGUUAUCCGGAUUUAUUGGGUUUAAAGGGUGCGUAGGCGGCUUUUUAAGUCAGCGGUGAAAUUUUGCAGCUUAACUGUAACAGUGCCGUUGAUACUGGGGAGCUAGGAUUUGGUUGCUGUGGGUGGAAUGUGUGGUGUAGCGGUGAAAUGCUUAGAGAUCACACAGAAUAUCGAUUGCGAAAGGCAGCUCACAAAGCCAAGAUUGACGCUGAGGCAC
rnacentral:rRNA from 1 species